CCUACGGGGAGCAGCAGUGGGGAAUAUUGCGCAAUGGGCGAAAGCCUGACGCAGCGACGCCGCGUGAGGGAUGAAGGUCUUCGGAUCGUAAACCUCUGUCAGCAGGGAAGAACGGUAACUGUGCUAAUCAGCAGUGAAUUGACGGUACCUGUUUAGAAAGAUCCGGCUAACUACGGGCCAGCAGCCGCGGUAAUACGUAGGGAGCAAGCGUUGUCCGGAAUUACGGGGCGUGAAGGGCGCGUAGGUGGGCGCUGAAGUCAGGUGUGAAAACUCCGGGGUCAACCUGGAGACUGCACUUGAAACGGGGUGUCUUGAGGGCAGGAGAGGAAAGUGGAAUUCCUGGUGUAGCGGUGAAAUGCGUAGAUAUUAGGAGGAACACCAGUGGCGAAGGCGACUUUCUGGACUGUACCUGACGCUGAGGCGCGAAAGCGUGGGGAGCAAACAGGAUUAGAUACCCUAGUAGUC
rnacentral:rRNA from 1 species